rnacentral:rRNA from 1 species
AAGCUGGAUUCGCUAGUAAUCGCGCAUCAGCCAUGGCGCGGUGAAUACGUUCCCGGGCCUUGUACACACCGCCCGUCAAGCCAUGAAAGCCGGGGGCGCCUGAAGUCCGUGACCGCGAGGGUCGGCCUAGGGUGAAACCGGUGAUUGGGGCUAAGUCGUAACAAGGUAAC